rnacentral:rRNA from 1 species
CAAUAGCGUAUAUUAAAGUUGUUGCAGUUAAAAAGCUCGUAGUUGGAUUUGUGGCGUACGGUGGGUUCCGGGCACUUGUUGUCUGAGUAACUUGCUGUUGCCAUCCUUGGGUGGAACCUGUGUGGCAUUAGGUUGUCGUGCAGGGGAUGCCCAUCAUUUACUGUGAAAAAUUAGAGUGUUCAAAGCAAGCUUAGGCUCUGAAUAUAUUAGCAUGGAAUAAUAAGAUAGGACCUUGGUGGUUUAUUUUGUUGGUUUGCACGCCGAGGUAAUGAUUAAUAGGGAUAGUUGGGGGUAUUCGUAUUCAAUUGUCAGAGGUGAAAUUCUUGGAUUUAUGGAAGACGAACUACUGCGAAAGCAUUUACCAAGGAUGUUUUCAUUAAUCAAGAACGAAAGUUAGGGGAUCGAAGAUGAUCAGAUACCAU